AUCAUGUUUAAACACCGGUUCUCGUAAGAUCAACGGAGUAAAGCAAUAUCGAGCCUGGUCAGUACCUAAAUGGGUGACCGCUUGAGAAUUCCAGGUGCUGUAAG